AACGAACGCUGGCGGCAGGCUUAACACAUGCAAGUCGAGCGCCCCGCAAGGGGAGCGGCAGACGGGUGAGUAACGCGUGGGAAUCUACCGUGCCCUACGGAAUAGCUCCGGGAAACUGGAAUUAAUACCGUAUACGCCCUACGGGGGAAAGAUUUAUCGGGGUAUGAUGAGCCCGCGUUGGAUUAGCUAGUUGGUGGGGUAAAGGCCUACCAAGGCGACGAUCCAUAGCUGGUCUGAGAGGAUGAUCAGCCACAUUGGGACUGAGACACGGCCCAAACUCCUACGGGAGGCAGCAGUGGGGAAUAUUGGACAAUGGGCGCAAGCCUGAUCCAGCCAUGCCGCGUGAGUGAUGAAGGUCUUAGGAUUGUAAAGCUCUUCACCGGUGAAGAUAAUGACGGUAACCGGAG
rnacentral:rRNA from 1 species